GUGCUUACUUCAGUAGCAUGUAUACUAAAAUUGGAAUGACACAGAGAAAAUUAGCAUGGCUCCUCCACAAGGAUGACAUGAAAAUUCUUGAAGCAUUCCAUAUUUUU